rnacentral:rRNA from 1 species
GAUGAACGCUGGCGGAGGGCCUAAUACAUGCAAGUCGGACGAGUGGCGGACGGGUGAGUAAUGUAUGGGAAACUGCCUGAUGGAGGGGGAUAACUACUGGAAACGGUAGCUAAUACCGCAUACCAUCAGAUGACCCCAGAUGGGAUUAGCUAGUAGGUGGGGUAACGGCUCACCUAGGCGACGAUCCCUAGCUGGUCUGAGAGGAUGAUCAGCCAAACUGGGACUGAGACACGGCCCAGACUCCUACGGGAGGCAGCAGUGGGGAAUAUUGCACAAUGGGCGCAAGCCUGAUGCAGCCAUGCCGCGUGUAUGAAGAAGGCCUUCGGGUUGUAAAGUACUUUCAGUCGGGAGGCGUUACCGACAGAAGAAGCACCGGCUAACUCCGUGCCAGCCGCCGCGGUAAUUC